UUUUUUUUUUAAUGUUGAACAUUGUUUUCUUUUUCGAGCUCAUUUCUGGCUCGCAAAGCCUAGAAAAAUGGUCUGAAUCAAUAGUAACUUUUUUCCCUCUUACUUCUUCCUUCUCUUCUCCUUCCUUCCCACCAUUCUUUCUUUUUCUUCCUCUACUUUUCUCCCCAACAUGUUUGAGUGCCUACUGUGUACCUGGCACGUUGAUGCCGAGUGCCUUGGAUUUAAAGGUGAAAAAGACCCAGGUUCUUCAGAGAGCAGCCCCAGGAGACAGACAGCAAACCCCACUUACCUGUGUGACCAAAGGUAUUGAGAGCCUGAACAAGACACCCAGCCAACCAGGCCACAGGAAGUGGGGUUGCAGGGAGAGCUGCUCAGAGAAGGACUAGCCCCAGCGUUGCAGCACGGGGCACACACACUGGGAUAUGCCUGCCACGUGGUAUGUUGUGUCUCCUGUCACACUUCCUACUCGAUGUCACCCUUGAAUGCCUCAGGCCAUCUCUGCUGAGAAGCCUUUGUUUAAUGGCUCAGAUAGAACCCAUGACUUCCCCCAUCUCUGGGCACUCCUGGAACCUGACUCACCGUUCUGUUAUGAUUCUGACACUGAGUCUGCUCUCCAUCAAAUAAGGCCCUUAAAAAUGUCUGUGAGAUGGGAGACUUAUCUGUCUUGAUGGGCCCUAGUGCAUAGCACGCGGUCAUUUCGUAACCUCAAUAAGUAGAACACAAAAAGUAUACUUUGGCAGCUAAUCUGUGCAAAUUAUAUUUCAACUGUAGAACUAUGGAGCUAUGCAAAACAAUAACAUGGAAUGCUCUUUCAAAAUUCAAUGAAGAUCUGAAGAAAUAUGCUCUUAAUCUAUGAUGUAAACUCUGUGUGUGGCCUCCUUGGAACAAUGCAGUGAAAACAGUGAUAAGUAAACAAUAAAACAAAAGCAAAUCAGUUUCUCAAAACCAGAAAGCUGAAAGCAUCGGAGGAAACACAACUCCACAAAGAAAUGUGAGGCUGACUCAGGUUCAGUUCUCCUGAAAGGGGUUCCAUGGAACAGCCUGUAGGAGUCAUAUGCAAAGAAGCUUCUGGAUCCAGGACAGAGCACAGCCUCAGGAAGGUCACAUGGGUCAAGCUGAUUACCUCCUCCAGCUCUGGCAAGCAGAGGGCUCAGCUGGGUUACACAAGUUCACUGAGCUAUUGACAUUCAGCUGCAGCUCUCGCUCAUUGCUCAUUACCGAUCAGCAGGAGACUGUCUGGGCCUCAGGUUAACUCUUCCGUGCCCUGUUUCAAGAUUGCAGUGAGGUCAAAAAAGAAGCUGGAAGGUAACUUUGCCUCAGCUUGUUCCUGGUUGUUAUUCAAGAAAUGAUCCUUUUAAACCAAUAUCUAAUAUACCUCUUAGAAGGAAGAGCAAUGAUCCACUUGUCAUUUUGAAGGUGCUGGAUAAAACAUAAGUAAAUAAUUGUGUCCCAUAUUUGUUCAUUAUUCAGUAAAUGUUUGUUUCUGGGGAGGGUGAGGG